rnacentral:lncRNA from 1 species
GAGCCCAGCUCAGCUCAACUUUACGUCGUUACCAAGUAUGCAGAUGCAAGGCCACUCACUUCGUACCUGCUCCUUCCCUUCACUCUGAACUCUGGUGAUUUGAAUGCUAUCGGCUUUAGGAAGAAUAGCGCAGAGCAGAGCUGCCUGGGACUAGAAGACUGCUUAUUGUCUGGGGUAUGAGAUCUCAAGGUUGUGAAGGCUGGCCUAGAGAAGAACAAGGUAUUGACAAAUCUCCCAGGACUUUGGAAGGCUGAAUGGACUAAACAUGAAGAGCCUGAAAGCAAAGUUUCGGAAGAGCGAUACAAACGAGUGGAACAAGAAUGAUGACCGUCUGCUGCAGGCUGUGGAGAACGGAGAUGCUGAGAAGGUGGCCUCACUGCUGGGCAAGAAAGGGGCCAGCGCCACGAAGCAUGACAGCGAGGGCAAGACCGCGUAAGAGAGAAUAAUACUGGCUUGUUAAGGGUGGGGAGCAUGUCUGUGGUAGUGUGUCUGCUGCUCUGGGCUCCAUCGCCAACACUGUAAGAAACAAAAACCAAACCCCGAAAUGCUGACUUAUUCAUCAAGGGGAGUUUGACCAAUGCUUUGGGGGCCUUC